GGACCUGAAGGAGAUGGUAGGAGAUGAAGUAGCUGGAGGCUGUGGGAAUGAUGGCGGAACAGGAGGCAGAUGAAGAGUUGAUGAAGAAGAUGGAGGAACCUGGUGGAGGGCGAGUUGGUGGAGGAGGAGGAAGAUGAAGAGUUGGUGAUGAGGAGAAGAAGGAUGGCCUGGAGGAGGUGAAGAUUUGGAGGAGGAGUUGGCAGAAGGGGAGACGGAGUGACCUCAGCAAUAACCACCAUGUGACACAUGAAAGCAGCCAUGGUCAACAGCAGCAAUGAAGAGACCGAUGGAUCCUCUUACCGGUGUUAAAGGAAAAAGGAUCAUGGUUCAUCAUCAUGGUCUUCCAUGGCGCUCUCCAUAACGAAAUGUUGUUACUGAAGAGACAGCACUCACCCCGGGGCCCAGAGCCGGCACGGUAUGUAUCUCAAGGAUGAACUACAUAGGGACCUGAGACUGAAAAGAGGCCUGGGCGAGAGACAGAUGGCGUCACUUCUCCUUCCCCCCCCCCGCCUUCACAUAUGCAUGGGUUUUGUGCACAUGCAUCUGUGGUCACCACGGUGAUGAGGUACUAGCCAAAUCAUGUUGUUAUGUAAUAUUAUGAUUAUAUUAGAUGGUAUCAUUUUGUUUUCAUAUUAACAUCAGCUCGAAUUGAAUAGGAAGUUGAUAUAUAAGGGUAUGGUAAACACUAAACAAGUGUGAAUAUGGUAUUCAUAAAAUUAAUUAUGUAACAUUUUAUUUUCUGUCAUCCACUGCACAAAGUAGGAGGUUUUGAUGGAUCGCCUGGGCAUAAGAAAUGCUAUUGUAUAGAAAAAAUAAAAAUAUAUAUUUAUAUCCGCAUGAAACAAUCCCCGGAAUAAUACCUUUGUAUGUAUGCUGUGCAUGGAUGUGCUUUUUCAUACAUCGCAACAUAGGGAAGAUUAUAUAGAACACUAUGAUAAUAUGUCCAACUAAAUUUCAGAUACCUAACAUACUGUGCACACCAUUAAAGCAUUGUCGUGGCAAUUUGACAGCAAAGGCCAUCUUCCCC
ensembl:lncRNA